rnacentral:rRNA from 1 species
GGAGGAAAGCAGGGGAUCGCAAGACCUUGCGCUCUUUGAGCGGCCGAUGUCUGAUUAGCUAGUUGGUGAGGUAAAGGCUUACCAAGGCGACGAUCAGUAGCUGGUCUGAGAGGACGACCAGCCACACUGGGACUGAGACACGGCCCAGACUCCUGCGGGAGGCAGCAGUGGGGAAUUUUGGACAAUGGGGGAAACCCUGAUCCAGCCAUGCCGCGUGGGUGAAGAAGGCCUUCGGGUUGUAAAGCUCUUUCAGCCGGAACGAAACGGUCACGGCUAAUACCUGUGAUCACUGACGGUACCGGAAGAAGAAGCACCGGCUAACUACGUGCCAGCAGCCGCGGUAAUACGUAGGGUGCAAGCGUUAAUCGGAAUUACUGGGCGUAAAGCGUGCGCAGGCGGUUUUGUAAGUCAGAUGUGAAAUCCCCGGGCUUAACCUGGGAACUGCGUUUGAAACUACAAGGCUAG